rnacentral:rRNA from 1 species
AUUGAACGCUGGCGGCAUGCCUUACACAUGCAAGUCGAACGGUAACGAGCCUUCGGGUGCCGACGAGUGGCGAACGGGUGAGUAAUACAUCGGAACGUGCCCGAUCGUGGGGGAUAACGAGGCGAAAGCUUUGCUAAUACCGCAUACGAUCUACGGAUGAAAGCAGGGGACCGCAAGGCCUUGCGCGGACGGAGCGGCCGAUGGCAGAUUAGGUAGUUGGUGGGAUAAAAGCUUACCAAGCCGACGAUCUGUAGCUGGUCUGAGAGGAUGCUCAGCCACACGGGGAGUUGGACACGGCCCAGACUCCUACGGUAGGCAGCAGUGUGGAAUUUUGGACCAUGGGCGCAAGCCUGAUCCAGCCAUGCCGCGUGCAGGAUGAAGGCCUUCGGGUUGUAAACUGCUUUUGUACGGAACGAAAAGCCUUCUUUUAAUACAGGAGGGUCAUGACGGUACCGUAAGAAUGAGCACCGGCUAACUACGUG